rnacentral:rRNA from 1 species
UACGUAGGGUGCGAGCGUUAAUCGGAAUUACUGGGCGUAAAGCGUGCGCAGGCUGUUUGUAAGUCAGAUGUGAAAUCCCCGAGCUCAACUUGGGAACUGCGUUUGAAACUACAAGACUAGAAUAUGUCAGAGGGGGGUAGAAUUCCACGUGUAGCAGUGAAAUGCGUAGAGAUGUGGAGGAAUACCAAUGGCGAAGGCAGCCCCCUGGGAUAAUAUUGACGCUCAUGCACGAA